rnacentral:lncRNA from 1 species
AUUUCUUGGGCCACUCCUGCGGUAUAUGGAGGUUCCCAGGCUAGGGGUCCAAUUGGAGCCAUAGCCACCGGCCUACACCAGAGCCACAGCAACGCGGGAUCCGAGCCGCAUCUGCGACCUACACCACAGCUCACGGCAAUGCCAGAUCGUUAACCCACUGAGCAAGGGCAGGGAUCGAACCCGCAACCUCAUGGUUCUUAGUCGGAUUCGUUAACCACUGCGCCACGACGGGAAUUCCUAUAAUUUGUUUCUUUAUUCACCUACUGACAGACAUUUUGUUCUCAGUUUGAGGCUGUUUGUAAAUAAAGUACAUUCAUGCAGAAAUCUUUGUAAAGACCAUUUUUCAUUUCUUCUGUGCAAGUACCUAGUAGUGGAAUGGAAUGGUUAAGGCUUAAUUAACUUUAGAAGAAACUACCUGCUUUUCAAAGUAGGUAUAGCAUCUUACAUUCCCAUCUAUGGUAUAUGAGAGUCCCAAUCCCUACACAUCCUUGCUAAUACUUGGUAUGAUCAAAUGUUUCUUCUAGACAUUCGAAGAGUUGUAUGGGGCAUCUCAUUGUGCUUAAAAAACUUGGAAACAUUGACAUUUUCAGGUCGUGCUUUUAACAUCUGUUAGGUGGGUCCAGAGUAGUGGUCAGUCUAGAGCUAAUCAUUCCCCAAUACUAAGACUGAACACUUCUGAAUGCUUUAUGUAAGUGUCAUAUAUUAUGAGGUUUUCUAGGCUUGUUGGUGGGAAUCUGUGCUAUUCCCAGUCUUCCAGGAGGAAGAGUAUAACCAAUCCCAGUUAUUCCAUCUUGGCAAGAAGCUGAAGACUUCAAGUGGUUUUUUGAUCUUCUUCUUUAGUAGUUCAGGCCAAGUAAAUUCAAAUUUCACUUUGGAAAAUGAGAACUAGAGCCAUUAUUUUCUUGGAUUUGACCAAAACAAAACAGAUAAUUUCAUUUAACAUGUCACUGCAUGGACAAUGGAUGGCUCCCUCUGGGUUUUGUUUGGCUAAGUUUCCGUAAAUAACUGUCUGACUACAGCACAGGGUGAUGGCUCUCUAGCUAAUGAUGAUGAGUCAUGUAUAACCAGUUUAUUCUGGCCCAUAACUUCCUAUGGUAUGUUCUUAUUUAUACAGUGACUCCAAUAUAUUUGUAAAAUUUACAGUUCGAACUUGGAUUGAAUAAGUGUAAUAAAAAGUAAAUCCUGAGUAGGGGUAGAAGCAAGGCACAGUGAAGGCCAUAUUCUUUUGGAGUCAUUCAGGCUUGAAUUUGCAUUCUGUUUCAUCACUUACUAGUGUCUCCAGUUGAGCAACUUAACCUUUCUGAGCUUCUAAGAAAGCAAACUGCAUUCAAACAAGGGAAACAGGUUCACAAUUAGCUAGUAAAGUAUGAUGAUAUACUGUAAUGCACUGUUUCCAUGUAAUGUAUAUAAUGCAUUUCCACAUAGUGUAUAUAACAAUAUUGUAAGUUACUAAGAUAUAAAAUAAUUAUAAUGUAUUUUAAGAAGAAUUAUAAUAUAUUUUAAGAAUUAUGAUGAUGAUGAUGACAAUACAAUUUUUAGAUAAAACGAUAAUAAGAAAUUGCCAUUACUAUAAACUCUCUGUACUUGAGUAAUUUGAGAGCACAUUUCCUCAAGCCUUUUUGCUCCUAACAUGACUGUCAGAUUUCCUUUCCUAACUUUCCCAUCUGUAGAGUGGGAACAAUAGUGGUACAGAAUAUAGGUCAAAUAAGACAAUUCUUAUGAAGCACUUAGCAUGAUACUCAAAUCUUUGCUCUAAUUAUUUUCUAUACACUGAGACAUUCACACAAUAGUGCUUUGGAUCAAGGCAAGUUAAGAACUUAAAAAUUCUUUUACUGGGAUCACCACAAGUUGUAGACCAAUUUAAUUGCUUCAAAUAAAAUAAGAACCACAGAUAGUAUAGUAUAGAGUAUAUACCUUAAAGGAUGUACACCAUGUUGCUGGGGUAAUUAAUUAAAACUCUUAAUUAAAACUGCCUGUUUCAAAUGAAAAUGUAUUUGGGAGCCAUUAUAAAAAUAGUGGGUUUAAUUUUGCUUAUUAUACUUACUAAGUAAAGUCUGAAAAAAAUAUUAAAAGAACCAAAAGUUGUUAAGAAUCUUUAUAUUUUAAAUUCUUCGGGUACAGCUGAAGUCAUAAUUCCUUAAUCAGAAUCUAAAUUUCUUAACAAUAAGGACUGUUUAUUGUUCAUCAUUAUCUAUUACUUCUAAGUAACACAUAAAUGUAUGGUGAAUUGACCAGAUAGUGGAUACCUUUUUUUCCCCUCCAUCUUAAAAAAUCACAUGUAAGUAGAAAAUUAUUGAUUACCUAAAUAGGGAGUUCCCACCAUGGAGCAGCAGAAACGAAUCCAACCAGGAACCAUGAGGUUGUGGGUUCCACCCCUGACCUCUCUCAGCGGGUUAAGGAUCUGGCAUUGCCGUAAGCUGUGGGGUAGGUUGCAGAGUGGCUUGAAUCUGGCGUUGCUGUGGCUGUGGUCUAAGCCGGCAGCUACAGCUCUGAUUAGACCCCUAGCCUGGGAA